UCUACGCCUGUAGGCACAGAAUUUACAUAUCAGCUAUGUCAUUGUAAAAUCCUGAUAAUGCAAUUAUAUAAUUGAUCUCGUGAAUAGAUGGUUCAAGUAUAUGAUUGACCAUAUUGCAUCUAAACAUUAAACUGGUGCUCCGCGACACAGAAAUUCUGUUACAUUAUAUGUCUUGAUGAAUGCCCAUACCCUGUUUGUCAAAACAGCCCUGCUAUGCUACAGUCAGCUCUUGUUUUGUAUAGCCAUUUAAUGACUUCUAGUAAUAAACUAAUGUUGUCAUCUUUUCAAAUAAGAGAAGAUUACGGAACGGUCGUAGACAAAUCCAUGUAACUUUUCUUGUAAUGCAUUUGUUUUGACAUAUUUCAAAGAAAAUUCAUUAAAGAUGCAAAUCAAUUUGACUUAAAUAGCACGUCUAAUUUGUGAAUGAGGGAGGUAUUCGAUGCAUUUAGUCCCCAAACUAACUUUUUCGCAUGAAUUAGCGCACCUAGUUUUAUAACUACCAGGACUUCUUUCUCCGUCUGCACAUGGUUUUGCUUCGUUUAUUAUAUGAAAUUUGUACGUUCGUUGUUUAAUUUGGUAAUAUUAUAGUAAAAUUUUUGUAGAUUAUAAUUCAGAAUGUAAACCGAGAAGCAAAAAGGGUUUGAAGUUCAAUUCCAUACCGAACAUUUCUUAAAAUGGCCGCAAAGAUUCGAGAUCGGAUCAUGCAGGGCUCUCUGUCCGGUUCAGGCGAUUCUAACGAAUUUGAUUUUGUGUAGAUCGGAAACUUUUUGAAAGAAAUUUGUAAUAUUUUUCCUGAAAUUAUAGUCGUAAAGGAUUCUGAAGAACUGUACCAGGAUUUUUUUAAUACAAGCAGGCGAAAUACAUGAAAGUCCGCGCGAUUCUCAAAAAGAAUUUUUGUGCCGAGGAUAGGAAGCGUUGAACGCUCGGCCGUCGAGGAAUACAGAUGGCAUAACAAUGAUGAAAGAUUCUUUGCAUGUUCGUUCGUUUUCGAGGCUUUCAACUUUCAUCUGUUGAAUUUGGGGAUGACUCACCCGUUACAGUGUAGGUCGGACAGAAAUUUUAGUAUUGAAGAUUCUUUGCAUUUUCGUUCGUUUUCAAGGCUUUCAACUUUCCUCUGCUGAAUUUGGGGAUAACUCACCUGAUUUGGUUCUGUUCAACACUACCAAAACGAUUCCACCAGGCCAUGUAUAUGCAGUUAUUGCAGAUGAGAACAAUUAAGAAGGAACACAUUAUUUUUUGUAUCGUUGUAUUGAGGCCAAAAAUAAAUUCUUCUACAGUGGUUGAUGGAGAGGGUAUUGAGUACCCAAUAGGAUCUGUUGUUGUGACAGGGACAUGACUUAGAAGGUACCCUAUCAAAAAUUCUAAUGCCUGGUUGUUUGAGGACUUUGAGACACAUAGACAUAUUCUUCAUUACAUAAACCUUCUUGUUGCAACAAAUAUUCAUUUGAUUAAAUAUCGUGGUAGACCUCUUAACAAGGAUUUGUGGAAAGUUCGUGAAUCUGACCACGGGGAAAUACUUGCGACACUAAGGGUUAAAGCUGAUCUAGAAGGUUCACUUGAUUGAUUUUGGGCCAUCUAGAAGAAUAAUUUUACAAUAUGGUAGAAUAAUUUUAACAAUUUUGUAUAUAUCUUUUGCGAAAUGUUGUAACUUCGCUUUUUUGGAUGUGCUCUACAUGAAUAUGAGAUGUAAUAUGCAUAUGAGCUAUAAUGUGCAUAUGUA